rnacentral:rRNA from 1 species
ACGGGGAGCAGCAGGCGCGAAAACUUUACAAUGCGGGAAACCGUGAUAAGGGGACACCGAGUGCCAGCAUCAUAUGCUGGCUGUCCGGGUGUGUAAAAUACACCUGUUAGCAAGGGCCGGGCAAGACCGGUGCCAGCCGCCGCGGUAACACCGGCGGCCCGAGUGGUAAUCGUGAUUAUUGGGUCUAAAGGGUCCGUAGCCGGUUUGGUCAGUCCUCCGGGAAAUCUGACGGCUUAACCGUUAGGCUUUCGGAGGAUACUGCCAGACUUGGAACCGGGAGAGGUAAGAGGUACUACAGGGGUAGGAGUGAAAUCUUGUAAUCCCUGUGGGACCACCUGUGGCGAAGGCGUCUUACCAGAACGGGUUCGACGGUGAGGGACGAAAGCUGGGGGCACGAACCGGAUUAGAUACCCGGGUAGUCCCAGCCGUAGACGAUGCUCGCUAGGUGUCAGGCAUGGCGCGACCGUGUCUGGUGCCGCAGGGAAGCCGUGAAGCGAGCCACCUGGGAAGUACGGCCGCUAGGCUGAAACUUAAAGGAAUUGGCGGGGGAGCAC